ACGGGAGGCAGCAGUGGGGGAUAUUGCACAAUGGGGGAAACCCUGAUGCAGCGACGCCGCGUGAGUGAAGAAGUAUCUCGGUAUGUAAAGCUCUUUAAGUUGGGAAGAUAAUGACGGUACCAACAGAAUAAGCCCCGGCUAACUACGUGUCAGCAGCCGCGGUAAUACGUAGGGGGCAAGCGUUAUCCGGAUUUACUGGGUGUAAAGGGAGCGUAGACGGCAUAGCAAGUCUGAAGUGAAAUCAUAGGGCUCAACCCUGUAAUUGCUUUGGAAACUGUUAAGCUCGAGUACCGGAGGGGCAGGCGGAAUUCCUGGUGUAUCGGUGAAAUGCGUAGAUAUCAGGAAGAACACCGGUGGCGAAGGCGGCCUGCUGGACGGUAACUGACGUUGAUGCUCGAAAGCGUGGGGAGCAAACAGGAUUAGAUACCCUGGUA
rnacentral:rRNA from 1 species